rnacentral:rRNA from 1 species
UACGUAGGGUGCGAGCGUUGUCCGGAAUUAUUGGGCGUAAAGAGCUUGUAGGCGGUUUGUCGCGUCUGCUGUGAAAUUUCGGGGCUCAACCCCGAACUUGCAGUGGGUACGGGGCAGACUAGAGUGUGGUAGGGGAGACUGGAAUUCCUGGUGUAGCGGUGAAAUGCGCAGAUAUCAGGAGGAACACCGAUGGCGAAGGCAGGUCUCUGGGCCACUACUGACGUGAGAAGCGAAAGCAUGGGGGAGCGAACAGG